UUUUGAAGAUGCUGAAAGUUUAGUUUAACAUAAUUGCCGUUAGUGGCAACAAGCUCGCAAUACAUUGGAACAAACAUUACUGUCGGCAAUGGUGACGUAUUCUUGUGGAAAGGGGGGGCACGCACUGCAGGACUGCCAUAAAUAGGAGGCCGGCUUGCUCGAACGCGCCUUUAUGUGCAUGCGCUCGACAUAUUGGGCACACCUAAAUCAAGUGAUGAGGAACCUAUGCUCAACCCGGGAAUAGUCCCUUCGAUGUUCUUUGAUCGAUUUGCUGAGCAGGACAAAAGGAACACAGCCUGGAAGCACCAGCGACGCUAGUAGUUCAAGUGCAAUGCGACGCAGGGCACGCUAUGCAGCUUCAACCAAGAGAAAGCUUAUUGAGGAAUUGCUUUCCCCUGUGAUCCUUGUUGUGGGUGUUCAUGAAAUGUCAUCUGAUCCCGAACAAGCAGCUGCUAGUUGUACAGAAGAUGUUGGCCUACAUGAAACAGACAACCCUUCCAUUAUUGAGGAUGAAGCUAGGCUUGGUCAAUCUUCGAGUGCCAUGUUCCCUCUGGAGUUUCACUGUAAAUCCUGCAGCCGUGCUAUUACUGUCAAAGAUAUGUAACUGGUGCAAAGCUAUAAAAAUCAACUUUUUGG